rnacentral:rRNA from 1 species
AUGGGAACACAAGCUUUACUCCGCGCCUCAACUGAAACCAAAAGGCAAACAACUGAAACACUACAAGCUUACACACGUGUAGCAGAGUUGAAUCUUGGUAUAAGAUGGCCAUACAAUCAGAGUGUUUCACCCUGCUCCCGUGCCACGGAAGUUGAAAGGAUGGCAAGGCUGUUGUUUAAGAACGUGAGCGCGGAUUCACAGUCUGAAAUGAUUUUUGUGACGGAUGAGGGCUCGCUUGAAUUUGAAAGUGACCCAGCUGCCAUUGCUGUAUAUGAAUCUCGCAGGCUCCUCAGAUUUCCAAGGAACUGCACAUCACAAACAAACACUCAAGUCAAAGCAUGUUUUGUAUGA